ensembl:lncRNA
CAGAUCUGGAAGGGUUCCCUGAGGAAGUGAUGUUUAGUGAGAUUCAAGGUCAGAGUGAAAUGUGACAAGGAUUCGCCAAGAAGACACUUCGAUAAUAAUCGUCUUCAAAAUUCAGUCUUCUCUGUCAUUGUCACUGUCAUCGUCUUGCAAAAAUGAUUAAGGGAGAAGCUCAUUAAAAGACCACUACCCCUUUAGAUGGUCAUUACAACAAUGGAAACUAAUCCUGGUCCUGUCUUGGGUGUUCACUCUGAGUUGGGCACUGAGUUGGUGCCUCAGAUGUGAUGGCCGAUCGUGCUGAAUCCUCACAGCUGCCUGAAGUUUGACUCUCUCAGACAUUGACAAGUCUCCUCGGAGCAGAGGGGUCCAUCAGGCAAGAGUCUUCGAUUUUGCCACUUGGAGAGGAAAGUGGAAAGAAAGUGAAGGAAGGACGUUCCUGAGGAAGAAGAAGCCUGAAUUCCAAAGGGUUUAAAACAGGGUUCAUUUUUUUAAAUCUGGUGACAUUUGCUCAACAUUCACCCCCAUUUUGCUAACCCUGAGCCAGGAGCUCAGAGCACCGUGGAGAGAGCCAAUCCACGUCGAGGCUUAGCCACCGCUGCCGGAACCAGCUGCUUCCAGGGCAUCUCUAUUCGUUACACCCAUCAACGCGGAUGCCUCUGAAUCUCCGGGCCUCCUUCUGUAGUAGAUUCUUCUCUUCCAAAGCCUGAAAUUGUUAACGAGAUCUAGGAUUUCUCCCUUCAACUUCCCACUGCAAACUAACGGGAAAAAGCUAAACCUUAAUAAAAUAGCUGCGCUCUCC